UCUUCAAGUUGGCACACUUCUCAACACUCUUCGAGUGGGCUUCUAUCAUCUCGUGACCAAAGAUCAGACCCACAGCAGGAAGAUUUGGAAAUAGUAUACAAAAAACACUUCCAAUGAACUGAAGCUUUUUCAACAUGUUACUCUACCAUUAAAGCACUAGGAAGAGAACGUACUUUUCAAUUCAGACUUGGAAAAUUCAGUUGACCGAAACGGUGGGUCUCUAUUGGUAUGGGGCUUGUGCAGGCAAAACCUACUAAAACUUUGCAAUUGAGGAUUGAAUUUUUUGCAACUGAAAUGAGCCAUCUGGCUGUACCACUGGAAAAGGCAGGGAAAAAAGUUCAAAUUUCACUGUCUCGAAACUUUACUCAUUAAUAGGGUGCGAGGCAAUAAAAGUGACCUUAU